rnacentral:rRNA from 1 species
UAACCUGCCUGGUAGCGGGGGAUAACUAUUGGAAACGAUAGCUAAUACCGCAUAAGAGUAGAUGUUGCAUGACAUUUGCUUAAAAAGGUGCAAUUGCAUCACUACCAGAUGGGCCUGCGUUGUAUUAGCUAGUUGGUGAGGUAACGGCUCACCAAGGCAACGAUACAUAGCCGACCUGAGAGGGUGAUCGGCCACACUGGGACUGAGACACGGCCCAG